rnacentral:rRNA from 1 species
CCUACGGGUGGCUGCAGUGAGGAAUAUUGGUCAAUGGGCGGGAGACUGAACCAACCAAGUCGCGUGAGGGAGGAAGGUACAAAGGAUUGUAAACCUCUUUUGUCAGGGAGCAAAGGCGGGGACGUGUGCCGGGAUGAGUGUACCUGAAGAAAAAGCAUCGGCAAACUCCGUGCAAGAAGGCGCGGUAAUACGGAGGAUGCGAGCGUUAUCCGGAUGUAUUGGGUUGAAAGGGGGCGUAGGCGGCAGAGUAAGUCCGCGGGCAAAGUCAGGGGCUCAACCCCGGCGCGCCGUUGCAACUGGCAGUCUUGAGUUGGUGAGAAGUAUGCGGAAUGCGCGGUGUAGCUGU